GUGAAAAAUGAAACCUUUAGACUAAACUGACAAAAUGACCCAAACUAUAAGUACUAAAAUCGCAUUUAACUCAAAAAUUCAUUUACAUAAUUCAUUUAAGGUAAAAAAUUAAAAUUCCCGCCCCCAUAAACUCCCUCCGUCUUUUCCCGCCUAAUGAAAAUUCCCACCCCAUAAACUACCUCAAUCGUUUUGGCUCCAUUUAAAAAUUUCAUCCCCAAAAAUGAUUCCCCAUUCAAACUGCACUACUACUCCACGUUUAUCAGGUGCGGUUAAAGAAUCAGUCAAUGCUCAAACCUCAAAACACACACAUCGAUCAUUUGAGAACACACUAAACGUGGGAAACAUCUGCGAAAAAUGAUCAUAAAUCUUGCUUGGAAACAGGAUGGCAAUGAAGGAUGUUCUAUUCGCGAUGAAGAUAAAGAGAAAACUGUGUUGUUUGUACACAUAUUGUAUUUUGUGUUGCUUGCAUAUGAAGUGAUGUUCUAGAUGGGAUGGAGUAGUGACGGUUUCUUCAUUCGGGAUGUAGAAAGUGAGGAAACUAUAGUAAUUUGUAGAGUUAAUUACAUAGUUAGUCCCUGUGGUUUGCACAAAAUAACAUAAUUAAGUACUAAUAGUUUAAAAUCACCUUCUAAGGUAUUAAUUUUUCAUUUUGUAACGUUUGGAGGUAUUAACAUCUAGGGUAUUAACAUAGUUAGUCCCUAUGGUUUUUACAAAAUAACAUACUUAGGUACUAAUAGAAUGUGAUUGUAAACCUACAAAUAAUGUUAAUAUCUCCAAACGUUACAAAAUGAAAAGUUAAUACCCUAGAAUGUGAUUUUAAACUAUUAGUACCUAAAUAUGUUACUUUGUGCAAACCACAGGGACUAACUAUGUAACUAACUCUAAUUUGUAUUUGGAUAUUUUGUAUAAUUUUGUAAUAUUUUAUGGCAUUAUAUUUCAUAAUUUUUCUUAUCUUAUUUGUAGAACAUGUGGUUUUUAUUUGUCAUUGUAAACCUUUAUGUGAUUUUUUGGAUAUAUUUCUAUGUA